GUCCACGCCCUAAACGAUGAUCACUAGUUGUUCGGAAAGGUGACUUUCUGAGUAACGUAGCUAACGCGUGAAGUGAUCCGCCUGGGGAGUACGGUCGCAAGAUUAAAACUCAAAGGAAUUGACGGGGACCCGCACAAGCGGUGGAUGAUGUGGAUUAAUUCGAUGCAACGCGAAAAACCUUACCUACCCUUGACAUGCCUGGAAGAUCGCAGAGAUGUGAUUGUGCCUUCGGGAACCAGGACACAGGUGCUGCAUGGCUGUCGU
rnacentral:rRNA from 1 species